rnacentral:rRNA from 1 species
GACGAACGCUGGCGGCGUGCUUAACACAUGCAAGUCGAACGAAGAGCGAUGGACGCUUGCUUCUAUCAAUCUUAGUGGCGAACGGGUGAGUAACGCGUAAUCAACCUGCCCUUCAGAGGGGGACAACAGUUGGAAACGACUGCUAAUACCGCAUACGACUUAAUCUCGGCAUCGGGGAGAGAGGAAAGGCGGCCUCUACAGGAAAGCUAUCACUGAAGCUGGGGAUUGCGUCUGUUUAGCAAGUUGGAGGGGUAAGGGCCCACCACGGCGAUGGUCAGUAGCCGGUCUGAGAGGAUGAACGGCCACAUUGAGACUGAGACACGGCCCAGACUCCUACGGGAGGCAGCAGUGGGGAAUCUUCCGCAAUGGACGAAAGUCUGACGGAGCAACGCCGCGUGAGUGAUGACGGCCUUCGGGUUGUAAAGCUCGGUUAAUCGGGACGAAAGGCCUUCUUGCGAAUAGGGAGAAGGAUUGACGGUACCGGAAAAGAAAGCCACGGCUAACUACGUG